rnacentral:rRNA from 1 species
GACGAACGCUGGCGGCGUGCUUAACACAUGCAAGUCGAACGAAGUGGCGAACGGGUGAGUAACGCGUAAUCAACCUGCCCUUCAGGGGGAGAUAACAGUUGGGAACGACUGCUAAUAACACAAACUGAAGUAGGGGCUUGCGUGUGCUUAGCUAGUUGGAGGGGAAACGGCCAACCAAGGCGAAGGUCAGUAGCCGGACCGAGAGGAUGAAAGGCCACAUUGGUACUGGGACCAGGCCCAAACUCCUACGGGAGGCAGCAUGUGGGAAUCGUCCGGAAUGGACGAAAGUCUGACGGAGCAACGCCGGGUGAGUGAUGACGGCUUUCGGGUUGUAAAGCUCUGUUAAUCGGGACGCGGUACCGGAAUAGAAAGCCACGGCUAACUACGUGCCAGCAGCCGCGGUAAUUC